GGCCGUGUGGCGCAAUGGAUAACGCACCCGACUACGGAUCGGGAGAUUCUGGGUUCGAGUCCCAGCAUGGUCG